GACGAACGCUGGCGGCGUGCUUAACACAUGCAAGUCGAACGGAAAGGCCCUGCUUUUGUGGGGUGCUCGAGUGGCGAACGGGUGAGUAACACGUGAGUAACCUGCCCUUGACUUUGGGAUAACUUCAGGAAACUGGGGCUAAUACCGGAUAGGAGCUCCUGCUGCAUGGUGGGGGUUGGAAAGUUUCGGCGGUUGGGGAUGGACUCGCGGCUUAUCAGCUUGUUGGUGGGGUAGUGGCUUACCAAGGCUUUGACGGGUAGCCGGCCUGAGAGGGUGACCGGCCACGUUGGGACGGAGAUACGGCCCAGACUCCUACGGGAGGCAGCAGUGGGGAAUAUUGCACAAUGGGAGGAAGGCUGAUGCAGCAACGCCGCGUGCGGGAUGACGGCCUUCGGGUUGGAAACCGCUUUCGCCUGUGACGAAGCGUGAGUGACGGUAAUGGGUAAAGAAGCACCGGCUAACUACGUG
rnacentral:rRNA from 1 species